rnacentral:rRNA from 1 species
GACGUAGGGUGCAAGCGUUGUCCGGAUUUAUUGGGCGUAAAGAGCUCGUAGGCGGCUUGUUGCGUCGACUGUGAAAACCCGGAGCUCAACUCCGGGCCUGCAGUCGAUACGGGCGGGCUAGAGUUCGGUAGGGGAGACUGGAAUUCCUGGUGUAGCGGUGAAAUGCGCAGAUAUCAGGAGGAACACCGGUGGCGAAGGCGGGUCUCUGGGCCGAUACUGACGCUGAGGAGCGAAAGCGUGGGGAGCGAACAGG